rnacentral:rRNA from 1 species
ACGCUAGCUACAGGCUUAACACAUGCAAGUCGAGGGCAGCGGGUUGAAAGCUUGCUUUCAAUGCCGGCGACCGGCGCACGGGUGCGUAACGCGUAUCAAACCUGCCUCAUACUCGGGGAUAGCCUUGCGAAAGUAAGAUUAAUACCCGAUGUUGUUGCUUUCUCGCAUGGGAGAGUAACCAAAGAUUUAUCGGUAUGAGAUGGUGAUGCGUCCGAUUAGGUAGUAGGCGGGGUAACGGCCCACCUAGCCUUCGAUCGGUAGGGGUUCUGAGAGGAAGGUCCCCCACACUGGAACUGAGACACGGUCCAGACUCCUACGGGAGGCAGCAGUGAGGAAUAUUGGUCAAUGGGCGAGAGCCUGAACCAGCCAAGUAGCGUGCAGGAUGACGGCCCUCCGGGUUGUAAACUGCUUUUAGUUGGGAAUAAAAAAAGGGACUUGUCCCUUCUUGUAUGUACCUUCAGAAAAAGGACCGGCUAAUUCCGUGCCAGCAGCCGCGGUAAUACGGAAGGUCCAGGCGUUAUCCGGAUUUAUUGGGUUUAAAGGGAGCGUAGGCGGAUUGUUAAGUCAGCGGUUAAAGGGUGUGGCUCAACCAUGCAUUGCCGUUGAAACUGGCGAUCUUGAGUGCAGACAGGGAUGCCGGAAUUCGUGGUGUAGCGGUGAAAUGCUUAGAUAUCACGAAGAACUCCGAUCGCGAAGGCAGGUGUCCGGGCUGCAACUGACGCUGAGGCUCGAAAGUGUGGGUAUCAAACAGGAUUAGAUACCCUGGUAGUCCACACAGUAAACGAUGUAUACUCGCGGUUUGCGAUAGAUUGUAAGCCGCCAAGCGAAAGCAUUAAGUAUACCACCUGGGGAGUACGCCGGCAACGGUGAAACUCAAAGGAAUUGACGGGGGCCCGCACAAGCGGAGGA